rnacentral:misc_RNA from 1 species
AACGCACAUUGCGCCCGCCGGUAUUCCGGCGGGCAUGCCUGUUCGAGCGUCAUUUCAACCCUCAAGCCCGGCUUGGUGUUGGGGCGGCCGGGCCCUUGCGGCCCGGCGCCCCCAAAUCGAUCGGCGGGCUCGUCGGACUCUGAGCGUAGUAACUCGCGGUAAAACGCGCCUCGCUCGGCAGGUCUCGUUCGGGCGCUGGCCGCUAAACCCCCGAUUUUUAAAAGGUUGACCUCGGAUCAGGUAGGAAUACCCGCUGAACUUAA